GUGUCUUAUUCACCAUCUCAUCAGAGACUGAUAACAGCUUCAGAGAGAUCUCAAUGCCUAUGAAGAAAAACACGGAAGGGCCAGACCUAGUGGGGAAUAAAGAACAAAAACGUUGCACCAAAGGCCAAAGAGCAAGUGCCAUCAACUUCAGUCAAAGAAUAGAGAGUGUUCCUGCUUCCCACCGGCAGUGUUGGUAAACAAAGGCUUUCAAAUCCAGGUCUGACCUAAUGGUCUUUUUUCUGUGCCCUGACACUACCGGGGACUUCACGCUCGUUUCCCUGCCACCUCUGUAACUCCUCACCCUGCACCAUGGGGGCAAAGCAGGGUUCAGGGGCUCCCAUACCGGCUGUCCUCAUGCUCACAGCAAACGGGAUGAGAAGAGAGGAGGAUUUGCAAGGUUGGAUCAAGUACUUUUCUGCACCAAACACCUGCUAGGAGGUAACGAAGCCUUUUCCCCACACCUGGGGGCCUUCUGGGAUGAUGAGCACAAAGGAUGGGAGCAGGGGAACACAAGCGGUUCUCCCAGGCUGUGAAGUUACAGGGGAGUGACUUCCAGCCUCGGAAAUGGAAAGCAAAGGGAAAGGAACAAUGGCUUCAGAAUUAAUAAUAAAAAGAAAUGAAUUAGUUCC